rnacentral:tRNA from 1 species
UCCCUGAUGGUCCAGUGGCUGAGACUCUGUGCUCCCAAUGCAGGGGGCGGGGCCUGGGUUCAAUCCCUGAUCAGGGAA